rnacentral:rRNA from 1 species
AACGAACGCUGGCGGCAUGCCUAACACAUGCAAGUCGAACGAGACCUUCGGGUCUAGUGGCGCACGGGUGCGUAACGCGUGGGAACCUGCCCUUAGGUUCGGAAUAACUCCCCGAAAGGGGUGCUAAUACCGGAUAAUGUCUUCGGACCAAAGAUUUAUCGCCCUUGGAUGGGCCCGCGUUGGAUUAGCUAGUUGGUAGGGUAAAAGCCUACCAAGGCGACGAUCCAUAGCUGGUCUGAGAGGAUGAUCAGCCACACUGGGACUGAGACACGGCCCAGACUCCUACGGGAGGCAGCAGUGGGGAAUAUUGGACAAUGGGCGAAAGCCUGAUCCAGCAAUGCCGCGUGAGUGAUGAAGGCCUUAGGGUUGUAAAGCUCUUUUACCCGGGAUGAUAAUGACCGUACCGGGAGAAUAAGCUCCGGCUAACUCCGUG